rnacentral:rRNA from 1 species
AACGAACGCUGGCGGCAGGCUUAACACACGCAAGUCGAACGCAUCGCAAGAUGAGUGGCAGACGGGUGAGUAACGCGUGGGAACAUACCCUUUUCUACGGAAUAGCUCUGGGAAACUGGAAUUAAUACCGUAUACGCCCUACGGGGGAAAGAUUUAUCGGGGAAGGAUUGGCCCGCGUUGGAUUAGCUAGUUGGUGGGGUAAAGGCCUACCAAGGCGACGAUCCAUAGCUGGUCUGAGAGGAUGAUCAGCCACAUUGGGACUGAGACACGGCCCAAACGCCUACGGGAGGCAGCAGUGGGGAAUAUUGGACAAUGGGCGCAAGCCUGAUCCAGCCAUGCCGCGUGAGUGAUGAAGGCCUUAGGGUUGUAAAGCUCUUUCACCGAUGAAGAUAAUGACGGUAGUCGGAGAAGAAGCCCCGGCUAACUUCGUGCCAGCCGCCGCCGUAAGAC